rnacentral:rRNA from 1 species
UACGUAGGGUGCGAGCGUUAAUCGGAAUUACUGGGCGUAAAGCGUGCGCAGGCGGUUGUGCAAGACAGGUGUGAAAUCCCCGGGCUUAACCUGGGAACUGCACUUGUGACUGCACGGCUAGAGUACGGUAGAGGGGGGAUGGAAUUCCGCGUGUAGCAGUGAAAUGCGUAGAUAUGCGGAGGAACACCGAUGGCGAAGGCAAUCCCCUGGACCUGUACUCGA